GUGUCAGCCGCCGCGGUAAGACGGAGGGGGCUAGCGUUGUUCGGAAUUACUGGGCGUAAAGCGCGCGUAGGCGGCCGGUCAAGUUAGGCGUGAAAGGCCUGGGCUCAACCUGGGAACGGCGCUUAAGACUGAUCGGCUGGAGUCCGGGAGAGGGUGGUGGAAUUCCCAGUGUAGAGGUGAAAUUCGUAGAUAUUGGGAGGAACACCGGUGGCGAAGGCGGCCACCUGGCCCGGCACUGACGCUGAGGCGCGAAAGCGUGGGGAGCAAACAGGAUUAGAAACCCCUGUAGUCC
rnacentral:rRNA from 1 species